CCCUCACCAGCCACGUUCAUUCAUUGGUUUGUGAACCCUUUUUUAUUUUUCCCUUUUGAGAGGAAUCCAUCUUUUUAAUGGCUGGUCAUUGUUAUGCCAUUAGAAGAAACUUCCGGGCUCCUUAAAGAUACGGGCGAAGAUUAAAGAUUUGUCAGAAAGUCAGGGCCGAAAGGGAUUGUGUGCAAGCUGGACUUUGAGAAGGUGUAAUGGGGUUGAUUGAGGAGAUUGGUUCAUUAAAGGUCUUCUAGAGUAUCAAGAGCCUUCAUUUUGCCGAUGAUAUUCUUCUCUUCUAUGCUGGUAAAAGAAAGAGUUUGCUUGCUGCCAAAGCUAUCUUCAGGGCUAAAAAGUUGGCUAGCUACACUUCGGGACCUUUGGCUACAGUGGAGAGUGAAUAAAUUUUUUCUGUUUCUCAAAGGAGGGCAGUUGAACAAUUGAUGGCGGCAUUGUGUUGGGAAUUUUAAAAGAAGAGAAACAAGAGAGUUUUCCUCAGAAGACCAAGCUCUAUUUUCGCUCCUCCCCAGUGAAUUCUUCAUCUGUUCUUCAGCUGGCAGCAUCUUUGUUCCGUCAAGGAUUGAGACAAAUACCAAAACCUCUGGAGGUGUCUGAUCCCACUUGUGCAAAACAUGCCCUCAUCAUGUGCUGUUAUUGGUCCUGUUACUGGCACUUCUUAAUCCUACUGUUAGCCUUGUAAUCAUGGAAGAAAGUACGAGUGUUGUUGGUACUUAGCAGAAUUUUUUUGUUUUCUCUUGUUCUAUUCUCCUCUCUAUUUUGUCAUUUGUUGUUUGCUUUCCUUCUCUCUUUGUACAUACUUGAUCAAUAAAAGCCAGGUGGUCUUUCUAGGCCCCAUUUACUCAUACAAAAAAAAAAAAAAA